rnacentral:lncRNA from 1 species
GGGCCGGUCGGCCGGCCGCCGGCGCGCUUCACCCUACUCCACGGACAGUGCGUACAGUGCACAGCCGCGUCCGCCGCGGCCGUACCGCAAGCGGGGACAUCCGACGGCCAAUACGCUGGACCGACCGUCCGGACCCGGCUCGAACAUGGAGUCCUUCCAUCCGAACGACUUCAACCAGCGUGGCUACCGGAUCCCUGAGGAGCGAAACAUCGGGGAGAACGGGCCACUUCUCGCCAAUGGCGCAUUGUGAACGCCCACACAGCUCCCAGGCUCGUCUCCCUGAGGAGAGAAACACCGGGGAGAACGGGCCGCUUCUCGCCAAUGGUGCAUUGUGAGCGGUCACACAGCUCCCAGGCGCGUCGUGGAGGGACGCCACAUCGUGGGCAUUGCGGACCGUUGAACUCUGUGGACUCCGAUGCGCAGCUUGGUGGAGUCAACGCGACUGCAGUGCUGAGCCGUGGUUUAGAGUCAGACGUCGAGUAAGCUGAGAGUACUUGUGCCACUGUUCGUGUUUGGAGGUGGCGAGUUCUAGUUGACAAUGUGAUCCGUAUGCUUCAGUGUCUCCACCUGGUUAACCAUCGAACUCUGAGCUAUGCCAUUUUGUUAUAGUAACCGCUUUCUUACUUUUAUAGCAAUAGUUUUGUGGUUCCACACCCACCCCGUGUCAUAUACGCACCACACUGAACAAAGCUAGGCAAUAGGCUUUUGGUGGCCCCCAUGUUUGAGAGAUGGAUUUUGAAGGCGUAACCCUUUUCAGUUAUCUUCCAUAGGUCCGACAUACACACUGCCUUGCACUGAUGCGCGUUUUGAUGCUAUAUACCGUGCAAUGCAGCAUCAGUGAUUUCGUUUGCGAGAUUUUUUAUCUAAUCAAUUGGUCGCGUUUAAUCACAUUACCCGAUGAAAAUUGUCUCCCCAAUACGAUUGUGACAUUCAGGUCAUGCGUGCCGCGGGUUGAGGAAGCCGUAUUUGUGACACGAAGCUGUCCCCUGUGACCUGAACCUGCGAAUGACAGACCGUGUCACCAAGUACCCUUAUCUGAAGUGUAUCAUUUGCAUGGCGAUGUUUUCGGAGCAGAACCUAUGCGCGAAGAACGCGGAGCUCACGUUUCUCCGUUAGGGAAAGUGAAUGUGCCGCUGUCGUGUGAGCCACUCUCGCGUGCACCCGCCAUAUCCCCGACGAACCGCACCGCUCCGUACUCUGUACACGCGCGUGGGAUGUGCCCAAUGCCGUUCGUGGGUUCCUCCAGGGCACCCAUCUCGCCCCUACAGCCGCGUUGUAGGUGUUCCGCCAAACUGGUGCACGUUCAGGCUGUGAUAAUGUAUACGUCGAUUGUGCAGGGCAGUGCGCCGGCGCAAUAAUUCCCUUGUGAUUGUGGACGGCUGGAUGUCGGCGUGUAAGACACUGGCGGACGUCAACCUUGCGCGUGCGAUGACGUGGGAGGGUCCGCGCGGCGGAUGCCGGAGGGGGCCAGCGCAGGGGACAUCGAGAAGCGAUGUUCUGGGGCGGUGGUCCUGCUAGUCACUUUACGAGCUCACCGCGUCGUCGCUUUGCCGUUGAGUACUGUCAAUAAACGCUCGAUUUUUAA